rnacentral:rRNA from 1 species
GAUGAACGCUGGCGGCGUGCCUAAUACAUGCCAGUCGAGCGAACAGACGAGGAGCUUGCUCCUCUGACGUUAGCGGCGGACGGGUGAGUAACACGUGGAUAACCUACCUAUAAGACUGGGAUAACUUCGGGAAACCGGAGCUAAUACCGGAUAAUAUAUUGAACCGCAUGGUUCAAUAGUGAAAGACGGUUUUGCUGUCACUUAUAGAUGGAUCCGCGCCGCAUUAGCUAGUUGGUAAGGUAACGGCUUACCAAGGCAACGAUGCGUAGCCGACCUGAGAGGGUGAUCGGCCACACUGGAACUGAGACACGGUCCAGACUCCUACGGGAGGCAGCAGUAGGGAAUCUUCCGCAAUGGGCGAAAGCCUGACGGAGCAACGCCGCGUGAAUGAUGAAGGUCUUCGGAUCGUAAAACUCUGUUAUUAGGGAAGAACAAAUGUGUAAGUAACUAUGCACGUCUUGACGGUACCUAAUCAGAAAGCCACGGCUAACUACGU